rnacentral:rRNA from 1 species
CAUUACCGAGUACGGGUCCCUAUCCCCUUCCCGGGGGGUGGGGGCCCAGACCUCCCACCCUUGUCGAUCGUAUCCGUGUUGCUUCGGCGGGCCCGCCACGGUUGGCCGCCAGCAGGGGGGUUUGCGGAUGCUGCCCCCGGGCCCGUGCCCGCCGGAGACCUCUCUCGAAAUGCUACUGUGGUCAGGAAUGCUGUCUGAGUGGUGAGAAAUUGAUCAAAAACUUUCAACAAUGGAUCUCUUGGUUCCGGCAUCGAUGAAGAACGCAGCGAAAUGCGAUAAGUAAUGCGAAUUGCAGAAUUCCGUGAGUCAUCGAAUCUUUGAACGCACAUUGCGCCCCCCGGCUUCCCGGGGGGCAUGCCUGUCCGAGCGUCAUUGCCAUCCCCUCAAGCUCUGCUUGGCUUGUUGGGCCGGCGUCCUCCCACGACAGGAGGACGGGCCCGAAAGGCAGUGGCGGCACCCGGGGACUUGGUCCUUCGGGCGGUGAUGCAUGGGUCUCUUCAUCCACCGUCCGGCUGGCCAUGCCCCGGGAGCCUGUCGAACGAUCGGUCUUCCCCUUUAGGUUGACCUCGGAUCAGGUAGGGAUACCCGCUGAACUUAAGCAUAUCAAUA